rnacentral:lncRNA from 1 species
ACACAAAACAAAAACACUGCACGUAAGAAUCCGACAUGACCAGAAAAAAUUUCUUAGUAUUCCAAUUGGAUGUGGUCUUGUUUGAAAGACAGAAUUGAUCUUUCAGGGUCAAAGGAGGGGAAUAGCGUUAUUUUAAAAAUUAAUCCACAAUCAACACAUAAAUACCUGAUCCAUAAGAAAUUAAAAACUAAAAACAAAUGGAAAAGCAAAAGGCAUGAACAAAAGAAGGAAUAAGUCCAUCCUUACUAAGGCUUUAUCAUUUAGUCCUUCAAAAUAUGAUCUGUCCAGGAAAAAAUAUCCAUGGCCUCCUUUACCUUUAAAGCAAUUGCUACCUUUUUCUAUUCCUCCUUAUAUUAGAAGCCUACAAUUUAGCAGUCUUCAAUGACCACUCAAGCCAAACCUAUCAGCCAAGGGUGUUUUUGGAGGAAUUAUUAGCUGGUUAUAGGUGAGCACGUUUUGGUUUGUAUCCAGCUGAUGCCCCCAUGAUGGACCAAAAAGCAAAAAUUUCAGUCAUCUAGGCUGUUUUGUCUACAGUUUGCCCAAUGAUCCAUAGAUCUAAUCUUUAACUUUUUAAUUAAUUACUUCUUUUUUGUUUUUACUUUCUUAAAAAUAAUUUUAAAUUUUAUUUUAGAUUCGAGGGUCCAUGUACAGGUUUGUUACUUGAAGUGAAUUAAUUCUCGUAACUGCACAAACUAGCACUCACCACAAUUGUUUUCUCUGAAAGUGUAUUUCAUCCUUUCAGUUAUUCAGGCAAGAAACUUCAGAGUUACCUGACCCCUCUCUUUCACUCUCCACUUCCACCUGGACAAGCAUCCUGUCCGACAGCAUGAGAAUCUGCCUCCUCCUCUUCACCACAGCACCACUGCUUUCACUGAGGCUGCAUUUCAUUCACUGUUUCACAGGCUGUGGCAGGAGCCUCCACGCCUCACUGUCUGCUUUCAGUUCCCAUCUGACCCAUCUCCAUUAGCGCUGCCUUUCCUGAGACACAGCUCUCCGUGCUUUCAUGACUCCCUAGAAACAGAGAAAGUCCAGACACCUGAGCUGGCAUCCAUAGUGUUUGGCCCUUUCUAUUUGUCCAAGGUUAUCACUCACAUCAUUGACUCUACACACACAGACACACACACACACACAGACACACACACACACACGUGCCCAAACAAGUUCUGCAGGAUCUCAUUCUAUGACCUCUGUUGAUUCUCAAAUUCUCUAGACUUUACUGAUGUCUGGCACUGUGUGCCAUUUGCUAGAGUUAUGGUGCUUGUAUCUGCCUUGUGUCUUUCAUGGAGGAUCACCAAUAAACUGUGGUCCCAGAGAAAAACCCAGACAUGUUUUCCCAUGUAUUUGUUGAAUCCAGUUUAUGUUUCCAUCGAUUUUGUGCUGAAGACUCCUGUGUUACUCUCAGCAGAUAAUGCUGGUCAUGUUCACACUCUUUCUGAUGUUUGGUGCACCCUAUCUGAAUUCACGUGGACUAAUAGUGUGGAGGUCUGGGAAGUGAGCCGAACUAAAAAAACUCGAGGAGAUAUUUGCUCAUGAAGUUGUGAAUUCAAACUUCCUCAGCAGAGAUUUCCAGCAUACCAGAUUUCAAAGGCAAAGCAUCUAAGCCUUUCCUUAGACCCACCGCUCGAAUCUCUUGUGUCCCACGCUGACUUCACAUUUGGUCUCCUUGGUUUUUAGUCAGACUGCAGAGGCCGACUAGUCUGUCCUGGGAAGGGUAAGAUGCUCCUUUAUCCAGCCUGACCGGACAUCCAGAGGGAAAUGUUAGUUAAGCAUUAUUAAUAUGAAAAGAAAAAUCAAUAACACAAAGAUAAUUUCCUUUUUGAUUUAAGUACUGCUUAGCCAAAAUAAGUAUUUAUUUAUUGUAUAGUUGCAAGCAGCAACAAAAUGAAAACAAAAGCCUCCCAUUUUAGCAGACAUGUUUUGAGGCUCUACUGGGUAGCAGGUACAAUGUUGGGCUUUGUGAAGGACACAAAGAUGAGUGACACGCUGUCACUUUUCACCCUGAUAUGGCAGCUCCAAGCUGGUAGUGAUUCUUGAUAUGGUAAAUUAUACUUUGCCUGUAUUUGAAUGCAUUAGUUUCAUUUAAAAAAUUAUUUUUAUGUAAGUAGAGAUGAGGUCUUGCUAUGUUGCCCACGCUGGUCUCGAACUCCUGGCCUCAAACAAUCCUCCCACCUCACCCUUCCAAAGUGCUGGGAUUAUGGGUAUGUGCCUGGCCUCCUUAAAUGUAUUAUAAGGUAGUCUUGAUAAGCAUUCUCAUUUUGUUCAAAAUGAGAUUCAGUUGAUUAGUGAUGAUGGUGAUGCUUGCUGGUUGUUGAUCCUGUGGCUAAUACGGGCUACAGAAUGUCUGCAAGGGCUUUACAGCAUCAGCUGUAAUAUCAAAACAGCUGACCCUGGUGAGCUGGCAAUGAGGCAGACAACACAGACUUGUGGGCAGAUAAGCAUGGGUUCAAAUCCCCACUCUGCUUCUUCCUAGUUGUAUGAUUUGGGGCAAGCUUAAUCAAGUCUUGAUAUCUAUAUCUACAAAAUGAGGAAGAACCGUAGUACCUAUUGCACAGAAUUACAGUAAGGAUUAAGUAAAACAAUGCAUGAAAAAUGCUUUGCAAGGUUCCUGUAACUCAAUACACAUUAGCUUUAUUACAGUAUCUGAAAAUCACUUUAAUUGGAACUACCAUAACAUCAGAUUAGUGUCUGAUUGUAUAAUCUGGGUUUGCCGAUAAUCUCAGCUUUAAACAUUUUGUGGUUCUACACACAGUUCCCCAGCAGAACUUGCUGAGAAAUCUUUUCUUUAAAUACUUCUUACAGGAAACAUGAACUAUUUACCUUUCAAAAAAAAGUCAUAACCCUCUCCUUUCUUCCUCAUGAAUAAAAUGACUGGCACCACGUUUUGUAAAACAUGCCAGAUUUUGUUUAAAUAAUUAAUAUUGGCAGUCUUCAGAUGAGUGGUUCUAUGGUAGCAUAGAAAGAGGCCUAAACUAGAAAUCAGGAAACAUGGGUUUGAAACUCAGUUUGGCCACUAUUGGGCUGCGUGAUCCAAUAGUUUGGGUAGGUCACAAAACUACCUAAUAGUUUGGGUAGGUCACAAAAUAUCACUGGACCUCAGCUUUUAUUGCAUAAAAUAUUAGAGGUAGAUUAAACUGUGGUUCUGAAACUCAAAUGCUAGUGGGGUUUGGGGCGGUAAGACCAAUGAAGGAAGCAGUUGAGUAUAAGACAAUAAGGAGUAGUGGUGACUGAGGUAAACCAGAGAAGACAUGUCUUACCUAAAAAUCCUCUGCUCCAACUGACUAUUGCUGAUGGGAUUGUGGUACAUGCACAUGGAGCCCUAUCUUCCUCAUUUUUAGGGGAAGGUGGAAUUCUGGAAGUAGAUUUUUAAACAGGAUAAAGACCAAACAAAUAUAAGUUGGCAUUUUGAGACCCUUGCAUUCAAUUACAUCUAAGGUCUCCUCCUAUCUUAAAAUUCUGUUGUAUUCUACAAACAGUUACGUUAAUAUAAUAUAGAAAUGGCAUGGUUAAAGAAAUGGACAACGAUGGCGUGAGCCACCACGCCCGGCCUAUAGAUCUCAUUUUUAAUGUCAUCAUCAUGGUAACCUUUUGAGGUAGAUAUAAUUAUCUCCAUUUUGCAAAUGAAGCGCUGAGUCCUAAAAGAUAACCUCCUCAAUGUCACGCCCCUAUUAAGUAGCAGAGUUGGAGUUUAAACCCAUGUCCUCACUUUUAACCACUUCUGUCUACUUCCUCCUGAACAUGAAUCAUCAUGCUUCACUUUGCAUAGUUUUGUUCCCAAAAUCAAAUCCCCUCUCAAAGGGUCAACCUUUGCCAUUAACAAGAGUUUUCAGGAGAAUGUGCCCUAAUUCCUGGAGACAAUGACUGAAAGGAGUUUCAAAAGCCCUUUGAAAGAGUGGCCGCAUUGCUGGCAAGAGCAGCUAGUUUCCCUAGGUUGCAACUCUCAUUUAUAUGUGUAAGCUCUGAUCUCCUUGCUUAAACAAAAAUAGAGAGAAAGAAAAGAAAAAAGCAAAAGAAAAAGGCCUUAUUUACUUUAAAGUUACACCUUAGACUACUGUUGUCUAAACUUGUGUCCUGUGGAGCAGUUGACCUGAAAGAAGAGUUCUGUGCUCAAAUAAAUUUGGGAAACUGCACGUUCUAUCCCUGCUUGGUUAUUUACAAUGAAGUUACCUUGGCAUAGAAACAUCUCUGAAAUUAUUCAAAAUUGUUUCACUUUUCUUAACAUCCCAUAGAAUAUUGGUUCUAUGGAACAUACAGUACUUUGGAAAUAUAUGCAUGUGAUAAUUCAUCUUAUUUUUAGCUUAACUAUUUGUACCCCACCUCAUUCUAGAGAGGUUGGAUAGCAAAGGAUACGCAGGUGGAAAGAAUCUCAUCCUAGUGGAUACAUUAAACGGUCUGUCUCCAUAUAAGGAGCAACUCAAGACCAUUUUGUUAGUGUGGAUUCGUUGAUGUGACCUCUGGGAGUCAGGCUCCUCAGUAGGCUCUCUACCUGGUCAAGCAAUUUAGCACACACCCCUUCUUUAGGGACCUCCCAGUAGAUCUCCAUCUUUGGGAGGAAGGAGAUGACUUCUUGCAGCUCAUUCAACAGGAAAAGGCUUCUGAGUGUGUAAAUAUACACUGUCACUGUUUUUAUUUGGAGCAGAUUUCAUCACAGCUAUUUUCUAAAUGGCUAAACAAGCAUUUCCCUGGGUAUGUUCCAUGGAAUAUUCAUUUUGUAGGAAGCUCAAUGAUAAAAGAGUCGCAUUGUCAAUGAGACCAGGAAACUGUAUAUUUAAUUCCAUUUUGAAGAGUCUCAAUUUACUUAAGGAUAGAAAAGGCACAGUUAAGAACCCUGAUUAACUUCUUUAACCCACUUUUCCUAAAUGUAUCUGCCAGUUUUUGUGUACAUAAACCUCUCAACCCUUUGAAGAUCGUGCGUUCCAGGGAAUACACUCUGGGAAAUUCUGGGCAAGACUGUUGCAGGUUUGCAGCAGAUACUAGGCAGAGCUGAUACUAAAAAGAGGGAGCUGGCUUCCUCAUGGCCACUCACCAGUCCUGGGGAAGUCGGGGAGGGAGAGAGGAAGCCUGAGCCUGGAAUCCCAGCUCUGCCACUUACAAGCUUCAAAUCACUUCACCUCCCUCACCUCGGUUUUCUUUAUCUCUUACGUGGAGAAUAUAAAACCUACAUCUUAGUAUUCAUUUGAGGAUUAAAAUCAGAUGUCAAGCUGUUGAAGAUGAGGCCUGGCAUGGAGUAGACCCUUCUCCUUGAUGUUCCAGGACUGGGGAGAUCCAGGGUGAUUUUAUAAACACAUGGGGAGGGUGGGCUGCUGACUAGCUGUGCCAAUUCCUAGAAAGGAAGAGUUUCCACUGCUCUGGGAUGAGAGAUAAUCCCAGGAGGAUUGAGGAUUACCAAAAGGGGGUUACCACUCCAAAAGGAGAGGGUCCAUGCUCGAAUGUUUGCUAGUGUGCAUGUCAAGGACAUCCCUGCAAAUCUGAAAUCCACAUCCUAAAUCCUAGCCCCACCACUGACAAAAGAUGUGACCUUGGUUAAGUCACUUAACCUCUGCCAGCCUCAGUCUCCUCAUCUGUAAAAAGAGGAGUUGGACUACGUAUCUCUCUGGAGUACCCCCAACCCUCAGAUUAGUGUGGAACCAAAUUAAGGUUAUUCCAAUCAAUCCAGGUUGAAGAGUUGGUAAUCUAAUUAAGGAUCAGCUGAAUUUUCAAGGUUGAGAGUCAAAAAGAACUGUCAAAUAAUGUACUUGUGUGUGAUGCUUCCAAUUUUAAUGCUUUUCUGUGUUAGGAGCAUAUUUUUAAAUAUUCAAAUGUGAAUUAUUCACAUGGCACAUGCACUUAUAAUGUGUGCAUUUAACUAAAGUGAAUCAUCAGCCUAUUAUUAAUUAUCAUUUAACCAGCCCUAUUCUUUUGGAUAAAGGAGAGUGUUAGUAAAAACCAAAGGGUUUGGAUCAUUUAAGCAAAGCCAGCUCUAAGCAAUUUGGCAAGCCCCUCCAGCUGUCCCUCCAUAUCUUCCAACAGCUAUAACCUGUGCAUCCUGUGCUCUUUCAUUUACAUAUACAUAUACAUAUGCAAAUAAACCCAUGUUCACUUGGGAGUGUGCACACUCAUGUUUGUACACACUGUCCGUGUCCUACCUAAUAUCCUAGAUGUCCAUCAAAGUCUUCUUGGGGCAGGUGACAUCCUCACGGGACCUGAGUUUCCUUAGCAGUUAAACACGUGUUCUUUUCCUAGAUCUAAGUAAGAGCUCUUCCAGCUCUGACAUUUGAUGUCUGUGCUCUUUACUUAGCUAUUCCUUGGCAGAAGCAUUGGAGACAUGCUCAUACACAUUAUCUCACAUAAUUCUUAAAAUCAUCCAGGAAGUCUUUUUGCAUCCUCAAUCCUAUUUUAACAGAUGAUGAAACAGAUUUACCUACUUGAUGUGUAAACAUACAAUAAUAACUGGCAGUUACAAGCUUAGAAACCUGAUUCUCUAUUCUGAAUCCAAUCAAUUCAUUCUCCAAGUGACAACCAGGCACUGGCUACUCACUUUUCCCUUCUUAAUCAGAGUGGUUUUUGUGGAGUUGGGAAUCAUCUGGAAGAGCCUCCUAGAUCAUCUCCCCUCCAUAGCCAGGAAAAUCUGCUCUAGGCUGAAACAUGGGAUGUAGGCCACUCAUGGGCCAGAUACAAUUCUAAUGGCAAUCAAGAUAUUAUAGGUGACUGGAGAGAGUCUGAAGAAGUACAUGUCAUUAGAGCCAGGGUGCCUGGCACGGGACCAAAUGAGCAGUCUAGUUUGAGACAAUGGGAAGUUUUCUUAGCAGGAGUCACCCUUCCCCCAACCAUUCAGCCAUCUGCAGACCAGCCUCCCCGCUCCCCAGAUUCCACAUGCCUACUCUUUCAUGAAUGAAGGCUACAGUGCUAUAAGCAUAGACUCACACAUCUUUAGAGCUACAAAAGACCUCACAAAUGAUCUAGUCUAGUCUCCUCGCUUUACAACAUAGAGAAAAGUGGUAUGCUCUAGGACACAGAAGGUAUGGUCAAAUUUAUAUUAGGCUUCCUGAUUCACUCUUCAGUGUGCUGCUUCCCUGGCCUCUGAAGAGGCGAGGCCCCAGGGCAGGAAAGCACCUCAGUGGCCCACCAGACUUAGCACCAACACAUGAGCCUGCCCAGUCCUUUCGCUCUUAUGCAUUCCCGUCUCUGGCCUCUCACCCGGUAUUUGGGCAGCCUUACCCUUGACCCCUUGUAGCUAUAUCCUCAUUCUUAGAUCCUCUGCUUCUUCAUUUACUUCUCUGUUGCUGGCCCUGGUUCCCUCUGAACUCUGAGCUCCAUGUUAACCCUGUUGCCUACUUUUCCGUUCCUUUUGAAGUAAAUUCUGUGUGUCCUACCUCUCCGUUCAACCAGGAACCCCCUAAUAGCUUUAUGACCUUGGUGUGAAAGUGUCACUUAGUCAUGACCCGUCCCUACAGACAGCAGAAUCUGGAGGAAUUAGAGCUUAAUGUUAGCAUUUUACAGGUCACAUCCUCUGAUCCCAGAGCAAUAUUAAUAAUGAAAUUAUGAAAGCUUUUUUUUAAAAAAAACAAUUACAGGCAAUUUUAAGAAUAUUAUUCUAAAUUCCCAUUGAAAUCAAAUACGCAAUUUUAAAAGAUGAGUACAGAGCAAAACUUACUGGAUGCAUUACACAAAGUAAAGUUCCAUUUCUAAAUACUUUCAUUUUUUAAUCAGAAAGAAUAAAAGUAUAUUAUUGAGCACUAAACUUAAUAAGUAUCCUAAGGAAAUCAGGAGAAAAGCAAUAAAGAAAAGAUAAAAUAAUAAAUUAGAAAACAGUGGGAAUAAAAAAAUAAAUCGAAGAUUUGAUCCUUGGAAAAUGCCAAAAAAAAAUGUGCCAGACAUUUGAAGGAUAUCACAUACUCAAAUAGGGGAGAUUCUGUUAAUUCUGUUAAUUAUUCAACAGAAAGCCUUGGGUAAAUUUGGGUAAAUAUUUAGAAAAUAUCAAGGCUGUGUCUUACCUCACAUCAUACAUAAAAGUAAGUCCCAAAUGUAUUGAAGAGUUAAAUAUUAAAAAGAAAAUGUUAAGGGGAAGAUGUAGGCAAUAUUUCCUUGAUCUCAAGACAGGAAAGGAUAUUUAAAGAAUGAAAUCAUGUCUUUUGCAGCAACAUGGAUGGGUUGGAGGCCAUUAUCUUGAGUAAAAUAACUCAGAAAGUCAAAUACCGCAUGUUUUCACUUAUAAGUGGGGGCUAAAUAAUAUGUACUCAUGGACAUAAAGUGUGGAAUGAUAGACAUGGGAGACUGAGAAGGGUGGGGGUGUAGGAGGAAGGGAGGGAUGAUGCAAUACUUAACGAGUGCAUUGCACACUAUUCGGGUGACGGUUACACCAAAAGCCCAGACUUCACCACUACACAAUAUAUCCAUGUAACAAAACUACACUUGCACCCCCUAAAUUUAUAAUUUUUUUAAAAAAGGAUUAAAGGCAGGCCAGGCGCGCUGGCUCAUGCCUGUAAUCCCAGCACUUGGGAGGCCGAGGAGGGUGGAUCACGUGAGGUCGGGAGUUCGAGACCAGCCUGACCAACAUGGUGAAACCCCGUGUCUACUAAAAAUACAAAAAUUAGCCGGCACAGUGGCACAUGCCUGUAAUCCCGGCUACUCAGAAGGCUGAGGCAGGAGAAUCUCUUGAACCCGGGAGGCGGAGGUGGUGGUGAGCCGAGAUCGUGCCAUGGCACUCCAGCCUGGGCAACAAGAGUGAAACUUUGUUUCA